rnacentral:rRNA from 1 species
UACGUAGGGUGCGAGCGUUAAUCGGAAUUACUGGGCGUAAAGCGUGCGCAGGCGGUCUGUUAAGACCGAUGUGAAAUCCCCGGGCUUAACCUGGGAACUGCAUUGGUGACUGGCAGGCUUUGAGUGUGGCAGAGGGAGGUAGAAUUCCACGUGUAGCAGUGAAAUGCGUAGAGAUGUGGAGGAAUACCGACGGCGAAGGCAGCCUCCUGGGCCAACACUGACGCUCAUGCACGAAAGCGUGGGGAGCAAACAGG